GCCCCAGUGGCCUAAUGGACAAGGCACUGGCCUCCUAAGCCAGGGAUGGUGGGUUCGAGUCCCACCUGGGGUA
rfam:Patagioenas fasciata monilis isolate BTP2013 Sc31e1R_162, whole genome shotgun sequence.